ACGACGAAAGGUGGAGAUGUGAGCCGAUGCUACUCCAUGUGGAAGAAUUAUAGAAGACUCGAAGAAUAGAGUCGGUGUAAGGCUAGAGCCUUUGGCUAGAAUAGCUUACCGUUAUUGGUUUAAGCUUGUAGGAUCAUUUUAUGAUUUGUAUUUGAGGUUUUGGGUAGGUUCCGGUGCAUGGCUUUCCUAUGGUUACACAGUGUGGAAAUCAUAUUGAGUAUAUCGG
rnacentral:lncRNA from 1 species